AGUGAACGCUGGCGGUAUGCCUAACACAUGCAAGUCGAACGGCAGCACAGUAAGAGCUUGCUCUUACGGGUGGCGAGUGGCGGACGGGUGAGGAAUACAUCGGAAUCUACUUUUUCGUGGGUGACAACGUAGGGAAACUUACGCUAAUACCGCAUACGACCUACGGGUGAAAGCAGUGGAUCUUCGGACCUUUCGCGAUUGAAUGAGCCGAUGUCGCAUUAGCUAGUUGGCUGGGUAAAGGCCCACCAAGGCGACGAUCCGUAGCUGAGCUGAGAGGAUGAUCAGCCACACUGGAACUGAGACACGGUCCAGACUCCUACGGGAGGCAGCAGUGGGGAAUAUUGGACAAUGGGCGAAAGCCUGAUCGAGCCAUACCGCGUGGGUGAAGAAGGUCUUCGGGUUGUAAAGCCCUUUUGUUGGGAAAGAAAAACAGCAGGUGAAUCCCUGGCUGUCCUGACGGUACCUAAAGAAUAAGCACCGGCUAACUUCGUG
rnacentral:rRNA from 1 species